rnacentral:rRNA from 1 species
AUUGAACGCUGGCGGCAGGCCUAACACAUGCAAGUCGAACGGGUGGCGGACGGGUGAGUAAUGUCUGGGCAACGGCCUGAUGGAGGGGUAUGACUACGGGAAACGGUAGCUAAUACCGCAUACCAUCAGAUGUGCCCAGAUGGGAUUAGCUUGUUGGUGGGGUAACGGCUCACCAAGGCGACGAUCCGUAGCUGGUUUGAGAGGAUGACCAGCCACACUGGAACUGAGACACGGCCCAGACUCCUACGGGAGGCAGCAGUGGGGAAUAUUGCACAAUGGGCGAAAGCCUGAUGCAGCCAUGCCGCGUGUAUGAAGAAGGCCUUCGGGUUGUAAAGUACUUUUGGCGGGGAGGCGGUACCAGCAGAAGAAGCACCGGCUAACUCCGUGCCAGCAGCCGCGGUAAUAC